AGGAUCAUCAUUGCCAAGCGAUAACUUGGGCAGGAAGAGGGAAAAGGUAUCACACGUAGGUGCCUGGGGAUCUUGAUAUAAGAGUUUAGAUCCCGAUUUCUCAGGCUGUAAGCUCUUGUCUGCCUUUGUUCUGUAGGAGUGGAGAGAGAGCCUGCUUCAGAUGGAUUGGAGUGUGUCCAUCUCUAGCACAACAGGCUUACUGAAUGUCUGAGGAAGAGGUCAAGGUGGAGCUGAAGGCAGGGGGGGGAAACCUGUGAAGACCUUCUGCUAAGAAGGAGGAUAAAUGCAAAAUGAUCUUUGGUGCCUGUUGGUAUCUGGCCCUUCCUCUCUAAUUCUAGUCUUUUUAAUUCCUACCCAGGUGUUAGGUGAUCAUGUCUGAAGCAGUGACUUCUGGGGAUUAUUUAUCUUUCACUUUGGAUGUCUGAUCAGAAUAAAGCACCAUCUUAAAGCCAAGAAGUGAUAAUGAUGGAAAAUGGGCCAUGGCAUGAUGGAGGCAGCAACCCUUCCACCUGUUUGUAAAACACUGAAAAAAUUGCCUCAGAUAAGGAAGUGUCCUCCAGUGAGAAAGGAAUUAUUUCCCACCGACCACAUGAUAAAUGUACAGGAAAAGAAUAUCAGGACCCACAGGAGGGUAGAGUCACAGGAAAGAAGAAGCCUGGGCUCCUGAAGGCCUAGAGGAAAGACAUGGAACCGGAAAACCUUAAUUGGACUGUGAUGUACAUGAGAAACUAACUUCUAUUGUGUUAAGCAACUGGGAAUUCAGUAUUUAUCUGUUAGAACUGCUAGCAUUACCUUAGCGAAUACAAUUCCCUGCUGGGAAAUACUCCCUAAACACAAUUCUUCUCAAUCAAGAGGAAUUGAAAGGUUUGAGUGGCACUAAGUUCAAGGUUACAUUCCCUGACAACUAGCAGGAGUGCAAAUAUUCUCUGUUGCAGGGAAGUAGGGAGGUGUAGAGCCUUAUGUUUUAACAGUCACCCAAGGUGGGAGUAAGAUUAACAUACUCUUGUCAAAAUUGUGUCACCUUACAAGAACUCCUGCCUGAGUAGAAAGCUCUUAUAUCUCCUUUUGGAGAUAAGCCAGGAUGUACCUGUAGGUAAGGCCAAGAUUCUCUUCAGAAAGUCAUUUUGGAUCUACCUGAACACAUGGGACAAUGAUAACCAAGGCCACACAGCUUUGUACGGUGAAAUAUGCUCUAAUAAUUUUUGCCUGAAAGAAAAUGUAAAACAGCUAUAACCCUAUGACUGUUGUGCCCUUAAGAACAAAACAAA
rnacentral:lncRNA from 1 species